rnacentral:rRNA from 1 species
UACGGGGGGGGCAAGCGUUGUUCGGAAUUACUGGGCGUAAAGGGCUCGUAGGUGGCCAACUAAGUCAGACGUGAAAUCCCUCGGCUUAACCGGGGAACUGCAUCUGAUACUGGAUGGCUUGAGUUUGGGAGAGGGAUGCAGAAUUCCAGGUGUAGCGGUGAAAUGCGUAGAUAUCUGGAGGAACACCGGUGGCGAAGGCGGCAUCCUGGACCAACACUGACACUGAGGAGCGAAAGCCAGGGGAGCAAACGGG